GACGAACGCUGGCGGCGUGCUUAACACAUGCAAGUCGAACGAAGUGGCGAACGGGUGAGUAACGCGUACUCAACCUGCCCUUCAGAGGGGGACACCAGUUGGAACCGACUGCUAAUACCGCAUACUGAAGGAGGGGAUUGCGUCUGAUGAGCUAGUCGGGGGGGUAACGGCCCACCAAGGCGAUGGUCAGUAGCCGGUCUGAGAGGAUGAACGGCCAAAUGGGGACUGAGACACGGCCCAGACUCCGAAGGGAGGCAGCAGGGGGGAAUCUUCCGCAAUGGACGAAAGUCUGACGGAGCAACGCCGCGGGAGUGAUGACGGCCUUCGGGUUGUAAAGCUCUGUUAAUCGGGACGCGGUACCGGAAUAGAAAGCCACGGCUAACUACGUGCCAGCAGCCGCGGUAAUAC
rnacentral:rRNA from 1 species